rnacentral:rRNA from 1 species
UACGUAGGUGACAAGCGUUGUCCGGAUUUACUGGGCGUAAAGAGCGCGCAGGCGGUCGUUCAAGUCGAGUGUGAAAGCCCCCGGCUCAACUGGGGAGGGUCAUUCGAUACUGAUCGACUCGAAGGCAGGAGAGGGUAGUGGAAUUCCCGGUGUAGUGGUGAAAUGCGUAGAUAUCGGGAGGAACACCAAUGGCGAAGGCAGCUCGCUGGGACGGUACUGACGCUGAGGCGCGAAAGCGUGGGGAGCAAACAGG